GACGUUGCAUUUCACAGUUCUAAAGCAUCUACCCUAGGAAAAAGAAAAAUAAGGUUUCUAACCAGACAGGAGUUCACUUAGCUGCAGUACAUAAGACGACACAGAGACAGAGUCCUCUCCAAGGCCCAGAGUUUUGAUAUUUUUGGCAUUUUGAAAACCGAGGAUCAAGAGGCUUCGUCAUUUUUUUUCCAGUUCCAUUCAGUUAUUGUAUUAUAGUUUAGUUUGGAAAUUAAUUGACAGUUUUUUGUUUUCUUUUAAAUCAUUUGCUCUCAUCUUUUCCCUGAAGUACUAAUUAAAUAAGAGGAACUUUU
rnacentral:misc_RNA from 1 species